rnacentral:rRNA from 1 species
UAGUGAGUUUGAUCCUGGCUCAGGAUGAACGCUGGCGGCGUGCUUAACACAUGCAAGUCGAACGAUGAUCCGGUGCUUGCACCGGGGAUUAGUGGCGAACGGGUGAGUAACACGUGAGUAACCUGCCCCUGACUCUGGAAUAAGCGCUGGAAACGGCGUCUAAUACCGGAUACGAGACGCCACCGCAUGGUGAGUGUCUGGAAAGUUUUUCGGUCUGGGAUGGACUCGCGGCCUAUCAGCUUGUUGGU